rnacentral:rRNA from 1 species
GUGGGGAAUAUUGGGCAAUGGGCGCAAGCCUGACCCAGCAACGCCACGUGAAGGAAGAAGGCUUUCGGGUUGUAAACUUCUUUUACCAGGGACGAAACAAAUGACGGUACCUGGUGAAUAAGCCACGGCUAACUACGUGCCAGCAGCCGCGGUAAUACGUAGGUGGCGAGCGUUAUCCGGAUUUAUUGGGUGUAAAGGGCGUGUAGGCGGGACAGCAAGUCAGAUGUGAAAACCAGAGGCUCAACCUCUGGCCUGCAUUUGAAACUGUUGUUCUUGAGUGUCGGAGAGGUAAUCGGAAUUCCGUGUGUAGCGGUGAAAUGCGUAGAUAUACGGAGGAACACCAGUGGCGAAGGCGGAUUACUGGACGAUAACUGACGCUGAGGCGCGAAAGCGUGGGGAGCAAACAGGAUUAGAUACCCGAGUAGUCC